AUAUAAUAAUCUUGUUACAAGUAAUAACAAAAUAAAGUGAGGUAUAAAAAUAAUUAAAACAAAAAAGAGUAUUAUUUCUUUUAUUGCUCAACAACUACAUUUUUUUAUAAACGGAAAAUUUAUUGAUAACACUUUUCAAUAAUCAAGACAAACAUUGCAAAAGCAACGAAAAAGAUGUAUCCAAUUAGUGUGAGGACUGUGGUCGAUCGGCUUCAUCCACCAAUGAAGAAAUGUCCACCUCCAGUUCAGUUGUAGACAGUCUCAUAAGAUGACGUAAGGAAGAAUCGGUAAGGUUGCUUCUGUUUUUAUUUUUUAUGUAUUUCAUGGAGGAAAAGGCACUUUCACAUGUAUAUGUGCUUCCGAACAUUGACGUCAUUUUCAGUCCAAAAUCUCGCAGGUUUGGGAAUUUCUCCUUUGACAGUAAUUUGAAAAAUUCAGGUCCC
rnacentral:lncRNA from 1 species